rnacentral:rRNA from 1 species
UACGUAGGGCGCAAGCGUUGUCCGGAAUUAUUGGGCGUAAAGAGCUCGUAGGCGGUGUGUCACGUCGGCCGUGAAAACCUGCAGCUUAACUGUGGGCGUGCGGUCGAUACGGGCAUCACUGGAGUUCGGCAGGGGAGACUGGAAUUCCUGGUGUAGCGGUGAAAUGCGCAGAUAUCGGGAAGAACACCCGUGGCGAAAGCGGCUCUCUGGAACGGUACUGACGCUGAGGCGCGAAAGCGUGGGGAGCAAACAGG